CUUGCAGACCUUUGGAACGCUCUAGUGAAGAUGUAGAUAUAAUAUUCACACGACUGAAAGAAGUGAAAGCUUUUGAGAAAUUUCAUCCAAACCUUCUCCAGCAGAUAUGUCUCUGUGGAUAUUAUGAAAAUCUGGAAAAAGGAAUCACAUUGUUUCGUCAGGGUGAUAUUGGGACGAACUGGUAUGCUGUUCUCACAGGAUCACUGGAUGUGAAGGUUUCUGAUACAAGCAACCACCAGGAUGCUGUGACAAUAUGCACUCUGGGAAUAGGAACUGCUUUUGGAGAGUCCAUUCUGGAUAACACUCCUCGCCAUGCUACCAUUGUUACGAGAGAAUACAGUGAGCUCCUUCGAAUUGAGCAGAAGGACUUUAAAGCCCUUUGGGA